rnacentral:tRNA from 1 species
GGGGUUGUGGCUCAGUGGUAGAGCACUUGCCUCACAUGAAUGAGACACUGGGUUCAAUCCUCACCACCACA